AGAGUUUGAUCAUGGCUCAGAACGAACGUUAGCGGCGNNNUUAACACAUGCAAGUCGAACGAGAAAGGGUGCCUUCGGGUACCCCGGUAAAGUGGCGCACGGGUGAGUAACACGUAGGUAAUCUACCCUUGGGUGGAGGAUAACGUUCCGAAAGGAGCGCUAAUACUGCAUAAGACCACAUCCUGAAAUGGACGGGGUCAAAGCCGGCCUCUAUAUAUAAGCUGGCGCCAGAGGAUGAGCCUGCGGCCCAUCAGGUUGUUGGUAGGGUAACGGCCUACCAAGCCGACGACGGGUAGCUGGUCUGAGAGGAUGAUCAGCCACACUGGAACUGAGACACGGUCCAGACUCCUACGGGAGGCAGCAGUGGGGAAUCUUGCGCAAUGGGCGAAAGCCUGACGCAGCGACGCCGCGUGAGUGAUGAAGGCCCUAGGGUUGUAAAGCUCUGUGGAGAGGGACGAAUAAGCAAUGGUCAAUACCCAUUGUGAUGACGGUACCUCCUUAGCAAGCACCGGCUAACUCUGUGCCAGCAGCCGCGGUAAGACAGAGGGUGCAAACGUUGUUCGGAAUUACUGGGCGUAAAGCGCGUGUAGGCUGUCCCGCAAGUCGGGUGUGAAAUCCCAGGGCUCAACCCUGGAAGUGCACUCGAAACUGCGAGACUUGAAUCUCGGAGAGGGUAGCGGAAUUCUGGGUGUAGAGGUGAAAUUCGUAGAUAUCCAGAGGAACACCGGUGGCGAAGGCGGCUACCUGGACGAGUAUUGACGCUGAGACGCGAAAGCGUGGGGAGCAAACAGGAUUAGAUACCCUAGUAGUCC
rnacentral:rRNA from 1 species